GUCAGAGUGUCGUAGUGGUCAGCGGAGUAGCCGCCAAGAGAAAAAGAUCAUGGGUUCAAUUCCCGUCGCAGACA